GACGAACGCUGGCGGCGUGCUUAACACAUGCAAGUCGAACGGUGAAGGGGCCUGCUUUUGUGGGCCCUGGAUGAGUGGCGAACGGGUGAGUAACACGUGAGUAACCUGCCCCCUUCUUCUGGAUAACCGCAUGAAAGUGUGGCUAAUACGGGAUAUUCUGGGUCUGUCGCAUGAUGGGUCUGGGAAAGAUUGCGCCUUUGGGUGUUUUUGGUGGGGGAUGGGCUCGCGGCCUAUCAGCUUGUUGGUGGGGUGAUGGCCUACCAAGGCGGUGACGGGUAGCCGGCCUGAGAGGGUGGACGGUCACACUGGGACUGAGACACGGCCCAGACUCCUACGGGAGGCAGCAGUGGGGAAUAUUGCACAAUGGGCGCAAGCCUGAUGCAGCGACGCCGCGUGAGGGAGGGAGGCCUUCGGGUUGUAAACCUCUUUCGCCAGUGAAGCAGGCCUGCUCCGUGUGGGUGGGUUGACGGUAGCUGGAUAAGAAGCGCCGGCUAACUACGUG
rnacentral:rRNA from 1 species